rnacentral:rRNA from 1 species
UACGAAGGGUGCAAGCGUUACUCGGAAUUACUGGGCGUAAAGCGUGCGUAGGUGGUUUGUUAAGUCUGCUGUGAAAGCCCUGGGCUCAACCUGGGAAUUGCAGUCGAUACUGGUGAACUAGAGUUCGGUAGAGGGUGACGGAAUUCCCGGUGUAGCGGUGAAAAUGCGUAGAUAUCGGGAGGAACACCAGUGGCGAAGGCGACUACCUGGCCUGUUCUUGACGCUGAGGCGCGAAAGCUAGGGGAGCAAACGGGG